GUGUCAGCAGCCGCGGUAAUACGGAGGUGGCGAGCGUUGUCCGAAGUUACUGGGCGUAAAGCGCGCGUAGGCGGGCUAUUAAGUGAGGGGUGAAAGGCUGAGGCUCAACCUCAUGUUGGUCCUCUCAUACUGAUAGUCUUGAGUGAGGCAGGGAGAAGUGGAAUGGCUGGUGUAGCGGUGAAAUGCGUAGAUAUCAGUCGGAACACCGGUGGCGAAGGCGGCUUCUUGGGCCUUAACUGACGCUGAGGCGCGAAAGCUGGGGGAGCGAACGGGAUUAGAUACCCUAGUAGUCC
rnacentral:rRNA from 1 species